UAGGGAAUCUUCCACAAUGGACGCAAGUCUGAUGGAGCAACACCGCGUGAGUGAAGAAGGGUUUCGGCUCGUAAAGCUCUGUUGUUAAAGAAGAACACGUAUGAGAGUAACUGUUCAUACGUUGACGGUAUUUAACCAGAAAGUCACGGCUAACUACGUACCAG
rnacentral:rRNA from 1 species